AGCUCAGGUUUCUCUUAAUUCAUGAAUAAAUCUUUCGCAUUUUACUAAAGAUUUCCUUGAGAGGAACAUUGAUGAGUUUAAUUAUUAUUGCAGGCUUUUCUAUUGCAAAGCU